rnacentral:lncRNA from 1 species
AUUUAGGGGGAAAACAAGAAAAGGAAACAUGGAUGUGGUUUCAGUUGUAGGAAGGCAAUGAAAUUUGUAAGUUGGGUUUAGAAUGACUAGUCAGAUUUAGAAUUGGAAAAUAUUAUUCAAAAUGUCGUGUCCUUGAAGAGUAUUUUCAGCGUUUGUGAGAUCAAUGAGUUUGGAAAAUUAGGAAACAGCUACUGGGAAUUUUAAAUUAUGGGAAGUUCUGAGCAAUCUAGUAUGUUUGUAAAAGAGAUGUGUAAUGUAAUUAAAUGAAUAUCUUAUCAAGCACCUUGGCUCUGGUCUGCUCCAGGUUAUCCUGAUGUCAAGCAAGAAUUGCCUUCCCUAGAACCUCAGCCAAACCUGAUAUAGAAGACCAAAGUUCCUCAAAUGUAGGGUUCAGGUUGGUGUAUACUGGAAAGCAAAUGAAUACACAUUGGC